GCCACUAUAGCUCAGUAGGUAGAGCAACUGAUUCGUAACCAGUAGGUCAGCAGUUCGAUUCUGCUUAGUGGCUCCA
rnacentral:tRNA from 1 species